GUAACGUAGGUGGCAAGCGUUAGUCCGGAUUUAUUGGGUUUGUAAAAGGGGUGCGUAGGCGGUCAAGUAAGUCAGCGGUGAAAUCCGGGCAGCUCAACUGUCGAUGUGCCAUUGAUACUGCAUGACUUGAGUACUGAUGAGGUAGGCGGAAUUGACGGUGUAGCGGUGAAAUGCUUAGAUAUCGUCAAGAACACCGAUAGCGAAGGCAGCUUACUAAGCAGUAACUGACGCUGAUGCACGAAAGUGUGGGGAUCAAACAGG
rnacentral:rRNA from 1 species